CAAUCCCCUUUUAGAGCCCAUAUCGACAAGGGGGUUUACGACCUCGAUGUUGGAUCAGGACAUCCUAAUGGUGCAGCCGCUAUUAAGGGCUCGUUUGUUCAACGAUUAAAGUCCUACG
rnacentral:rRNA from 1 species